AAAAUGCCGAGACCAGCAUCCGAAAGCUGGUCUCUUAUACAAAGCAGAAUCCCUGCCUACAAAGCAGUUUCCCACCUCCGACUCCUCCCCACGGCGAACAGCCCUUCUGGAUCCAACCAACCCACCAACCCCAAUAGGACCCAGCACCCAGAGGGUCCACAAUCCAGAGAAGGAGCUACAAGCCCUGUACUCGCAAGCCUCGAACCCCCAACUCCAACUGACCUCCCCUCUGCCAGAGCAAGACCACGAGUACCCGCCGAGAGCGGACCUGGCUGGCUACACAAAGCCAGGCGCCCGACCAGAGGGAUCCUCCGGGAUGUCCUCCGCCCCCGCCCAGCCCCGCCCGGCGCCCGGCGCUCACCAGCUCUCCUCCCCCUCCUCCUAGCCUGACAGACGCUCCAGGUCGUCCAGCAAGCCGCCCUCCCCCGCCGCCAGCAAGAAGGUGGCGUCCCGCAACUCCUCGUUAUUCGUCCGCCUCGGGUCCAUCCGGCCCCGCCGCCCGACUUUGCGCUGAGACCCAAGGGGAAGCCCCGAGGGGACCCCACGCCGUAGGAGGGAGUGGAGGAGCCGGCGAACCGCCCUGCCGGGCCGAUGGAGCCGGGGCCCAGCACAGCGCGAGCGGCUCCUCAGCUGUUCGUGCUGCUUCCUCAGCUUCUUCACCGGCUCCUGCAGCUUCCGCACCUCCUGGUCCGCGUUCACGUUGGAGUUAACGUCCUCCAUCCCGGCCCCGCUGCCUCCGCCGCCCGCUGCCCUCUAGCUCUCGCAACAAGGGAAGAGCCGCUCACUCCAGCCGAGGCCCCCGCAUAUAGCAGGGCCAGGCCCCGUCGCCAGGGUUCCCCCAGCGCGGAUUCCGAAGCGCCGCUGGCCACAGAUGAACCGCCUCCUCAGCGCCGGUCCGGGAUUCGGGGAGGCAGCGCCAAUAUCCGGUCUCUGCAGCCAUCUUUCCUCCGUCCCUCCGCCCACCGAGGGUCGACCCCGUAGGUGACCUCAGAGCGUCGGGGAUGGGCGUGGCCCCGUCGGGCGCUAAGAAGACCUCGCGCAGAGAGGACCGCCGAGCUCCCGACGGGGCGGGGCCAGGUGUGUGAGGGGCGGGGAUUGGACCCGAAGGGGCGUGCCUGGACUGCCGGCGGAAGUGGAACGCGGCCUGACCUGCGACGGAAAGCCACUGCAGGCCCGGAGGCGAACAGAAGGCAUUCCGCGAGCCGGGCUGAGGUGGUGAACACGGUCCUCGUUCACCCCGCCUAUUGGUCUGGGCGUGUGGGGUAUUCUCCACCCACUUAUACGGCGUGUGGGACCGACGGGCCCGUCCUGCCCGGCUCCGGUCCGGAUCUCGAGUAGGCGCUCAAUGGGAUUCGGGGAGACAUAGUUUACUUUGUUCAGCAAAUAUUUAACCGAUGCAUAUUUUAAUGGGAGAUUGUCUCCGCUGGCGGGAGCCUCAGAGACCUCCUGUGUCCUGUAAGAAACCCGAAUUUCAGACAGUUAAGAGAGGUCUAAGGUCAAAAUAAUAAUCAUAAUUUCUCCCUACUGGCCAGAUACUGUGCUAAGCCCUUUUUUAUUUUAUUAUUAUUAUUUUUUGUCACCGAGGCUGGAGUGCAAUGGCCCGCUCUUGGCUCACUGCAACCUCCGCCUCCCGGUUUAAAGCGAUUCUCCUACCUCAGCCUCCCGAGUAACUGGGAUUACAGGCGGGCGCCACCACGCCCCGCUGAUUUUUGUAUUUUAGUGGAGACGGGGUUUCGCCAUUUUGGCCAGGCUGGUCUCAACCCUGACCUCAGGGUGAUCCGCUCACCUCAGCCACUCAAAGUGCUGGGAUUACUGGCGUCAGCCACCGCGCGCCCGGUCGUGCUAAUCACUUUGAAAGGCAUUAUCUCAUCGGUUAAAACAUAGUUUUCCGGACUUAAAAGUUUACAGCACACUGGCGCAGAAGAUGGAAAACCGCUGCUUGCCUUUCUCCGUUUAUUGACUCACAUUCUGCUCUUUGGAUCAUUUUCUUCGGAAAAAGUUUUCCAAAGUGUGUCUUGACUUUAAGUUGUGUAUUAAAAGUAUUUGAACACGCUGACAGAUACUGAAGAAUGCAGAAAAUUGUAUGAGUGUGAAAAUCUGCCUUUAUGAUGUGUACUAGUGGCAGCAAAUCCAAACAAAACUUAAGUGCUUUGUUUUGAUCACAUUCAUUGGGCUUCAGGUGUCAAUUGUGCACUGCUUUGGCUUGUGUUUGCAGCCACAAACACAAGUGGAGUUAUUAACGCCACUCACUACACUAAACACAAGUGGAAGUGAUCCAGUUCUUUUUUUUUUUUUUUUUUUUUAGACGGAGUCUCGCUCUUUGCCCAGGCUGGAGUGCAGUGGCACGAUCUCGGCUCACUGCAAGCUCCGCCUCCCAAGUUCAUGCCAUUCUCCUGCCUCAGCCUCCUGCGUAGCUGGGACAACAGGCGCCCGCCACCGCGCCCAGCUAAUUUUUUGUUUUUAGUAGAGACGGGGUUUCACCGUGUUAGCCAGGAUGGUCUCGAUCUCCUGACUUCGUGAUCCGCCCGCCUCAGCCUCCCAAAGUGCUGGGAUUACAGGCGUGAGCCACUGCGCCUGGCCAGUGAUCCAGUUCUAUUACACCUGGGUGUGGACUCAUGCCACGACUGAUUUGCUUCUACCCUUUAGCUUUUCUAGUGCCUUACUUUCCUUGCCUAGAAUAUCCUGCCUGCCAUAGCUGAUUCCUUUUCUUAAAACCCGUACUCGCUCAUUCAUUCAGGAAACCUCUUCCUAAAAAUUCCACAAAAAUCUAAUUAUUCUUUGUAUUCUAGCAUUACCCGAGCCAUAGUUUUAAACAGCUGUUUGCAGUUUUUUAAAAAUUGCAUUAUUUUCUAAUAAUUAUUUUGUUUGUUUUUGUCUAUUUACUUGAUUUAAAGACACCAUUUUUGUUUACUAUGUCUAGUACACUGACACAGUGGACACCCAAUACGUGGUUUGUUGAAAGUUAAGUAGAAUGUAAGUUCUUAUAGGCCAAAGACCAGGUAGAUGUUUAUUCAUAGCAAAAAAACGUAUUGUGUUAAAAGUUUGCUGGCUAACUGUAAGUCGAGUAUUUUCCUAACUAUACAGACCUAGUCAAAGUGAGAAGUGACAGCGUGCUGGCAGUCCUCACAGCCCUCGCUCGCUCUCGGCACCUCCUCUGCCUGGGCUCCCACUUUGGCCGGCUUGAGGAGCCCUUCAGCCCACCGCUGCACUGUGGGAGCCCCUUUCUGGGCUGGCCAAGGCCGGAGCCGGCUCCCUCAGCUUGCGGGGAGGUGUGGAGGGGGAGGCGCGAGCAGGAACCGGGGCUGCGUGCAGUGCUUGCAGGCCAGCGCGAGUUCUGGGUGGGUGUGGGCUUGGCGGGCCCCACACUCGGAGCGCCCGGCCGGCCCUGCCGGCCCGGGCAAUGAGGGUCUUAGCACCCAGGCCAGCGGCUGCAGAGGGUGUGCUGGGUCCCCCAGUAGUGCCGGCCCACCAGCGCUGUGCUCCAUUUCUUGCCGGGCCUUAGGUGCCUCCCCGCGGGGCAGGGCUCGGGACCUGCAGCCGGCCAUGCCUGAGCCUCCCCGACAAGCACCACCCCCUGCUCCACAGCGCCCAGUCCCAUCGACCACCCAAGGGCUGAGGAGUGCGGGCACAUGGUGCGGGACUGGCAGGCAGCUCCAUCUGCAGCCCCGGUGCGGGAUCCACAGGGUGAAGCCAGCUGGGCUCCUGAGUCUGGUGGGGACUUGGAGAACCUUUAUGUCUAGCUAAGGGAUUGUAAACACACCAAUCGGCACUCUGUAUCUAGCUCAAGGUUUGUAAACACACCAAUCAGCACUCUGUAUCUAGCUCAGGGUUUGUGAAUGCACCAAUCCACACUGUAUCUAGCUACUCUGGUGGGGACUUGGAGAACCUUUGUGUGGACACUGUAUCUAGCUAAUCUAGUGGAGACGUGGGGAACCUUUGUGUCUAGCUCAGGGAUUGUAAACGCACCAAUCAGCGCCCUGUCAAAACAGACCACUGGGCUCUCUGUAAAAUGGACCAAUCAGCAGGAUGUGGGUGGGGCCAGAUAAGAGAAUAAAAGCAGGCUGCCCGAGCCAGCAGUGGCAACCUGCUGGGGUUCCUUUCCAGAGUGUGGAAGCUUUGUUCUUUUGCUCUUUGCAGUAAAUCUUGCUGCUGCUC
rnacentral:antisense_RNA from 1 species